GGCUUUUCCCCUUCCUCAGCCCUACUGGGCCUCACGUCCUGUGGCCCCAGCACCUGCUUUUUCUCUAAAGGUCAGUUUGGGGUCAGUUCUUACAGCUAAAAAACAGAGUUGUCCCUCAGCUCCAGACAUCUCCUGUAGUCUUCAUGCAGAUUUGCCAGGGCAGGAGACAGUAGAUGGAAAUGGACACCACAUGCGAGCUUAGAGCCAAUGUGACACUCCCCCUCUCUGCAAAAUGUGCAGGCUCUCUUGAGCCUUGAGUCAGAUGCUGGCCAACUAUACAGGUUUCUGCCAAGUGUGACAUCUCCUUCCUGGAGCACUGACACAGUCCCAGCAAAGCCUUGCUGUCCCUCCUGCCCAUUUCCACAGUUCCUGAAUGGUGCUAAGGAUUUGUAGCAGCUGAUGACAAGCUGAAGCCGGAGGAGGCCUCUGUACCCAGUGGGACCAUGGAAAGCUCCAAUGAGGACCUUCACCUCCCAUCAGAGGUGCUCCAACACUCGGUCAUGUGGGAAAGUCCCCACCUGCCACCUUCCUUGAGGAUUCUGUGCUUUGAAAGGCAAACUGCCUCAUGCCAGCCAGCUGAUAAGUUCACUGCUGCCCUAUGGCCCUGUGGAGCCUGUUUCCCCUAUAGCGGACCAUCCCACACCAGGCGGCUGUGGUGCUAUCCUUCCCUUACCCGUGGGGAGAUCCUUGAGUACCAGGGAGUCAUAGGUCUCCAGGGAAAGAAAUGGGGAGCUGAUACAGGUUUCUACAGUGAGGAAAAUCUACAGAUUUUUCCAGGCCUCAAACCCAGAUUUCUCUAACUCUGCUGUGAUUUGUGGCCUGGGACUUCACUAGGAGUGCAUUUUUUCUUAUAGCUUUCGAACAAGAAUUCCAGGGAGUGUCUCCAUCUGAGGCCCCUCUUCACUGGGUUAAAGAAGCCUCCAGCUGCUUUUGUGGCCCCCUAUCUCACUUCCUAUCCCCUACCUGUGAAAUGCCUUUGCAUAUUGUGCGUGAGUAUGUGUGUAUGUGUGCUUAUGCUCUCUUGGUCACUGAAUCAUUCAAAUAAAGAAUCUCUUCUUUGAGCCAGAAUACAACUUAACAGACCUGGGGUUUGGGGACAUGUUGCUAUUGGAUCUAGCGUAUCCAUCUUUUUUUUUUUUGCGGGGAGUCAGGGUUGGGGGGUUGAACCCAGAGGCCCUUUAUCACUUUAUCUCUUGAGACAGAUCCUUGCUAAGUUACUUAAGGCCUUGCUACAUUGCUGAGUCUGGCCUUGAACUUGAGAUCCUUCUGCCUCAGCCUCCAGAGUCACUGGGAUUACAGAGCUCUUCUGCAAUGUCCAGGAGGUUUCCAGGCAGGGAAGUGAAGGGCGAAGGGGUGGAAUGGACUGCCCUACCAUAAACCCUUGACCUGUGGGACCUCUUUGCCUGGAUUCAGGAAUCCCUGCCAACUGUGCAACCAGCAUUGGUGUGGGGACAGCAGAGGUGAACUCUAUUAAAGAGCAUUGUGACAAGA